AUCUGACGAAUGUUGUUCGGUGUCUCUGCGGUGAGGGUGAACCCGGCGAUGAGGGUAGGUAUCUCAGCAAAGAAAAAUACUAUGAUUCACAAAUCACAAUAGAUUCUCGAGAUCUUCAACUACAAUAAACAAUUUCGAUUUUAGCAUACAUAAAUUAUAUUGGCAGAGAAUAUUAUAGGCAAUAAAUAAGUAGAAUAGAUAAACAUUUGUUAAUUCUAAUUCUUAAUUUAUUGAAGAACCUUUUGAUUUAAUUCAAAUAUCAAACAUCAUUCAAUGCUUCAACAAAAACCAGUUUGCGGUUCACCUCAAAGAAAAAUAGUCUUUUAAAUACCAAAUUAUUUAUGUCUAUGAAUAAACUUCCAUUUAUAAUUGACAUUCAAGAUGUAGAACAACACAAUAAUUACAAAAAAAAAAAAAUUAACUAAAUAGAGAACAAAAUAGUAUCACAAGAAAUUGAAAAACAGCUCAGAUUUUGGGAUUAAUAAAAUCAUGAAAUAAAUAAAUCAAAGAAAUUGAAAAAUUCAAUUAUACCUGUGUGGGUGCAUGCUUGUAAUGAGAUGAGAGAUGGGUUCAAUGGGUUGUGAGAAGUGGAGUUUAAUUAGAUGGGGGUCUGGGUAUGAGAGAGAUGGGGUUAGAAGUGGGGUUUGAUGGUGGUGGCAGUUAUGGGAUUCAAUGGAGGUGGUGGUUAUGCAAUUCGAUGGUAUUGAGAUGAGAGAAGAAGGUGAGAUGUGGGUUGAUACAAAUGAAGGUCGUGUGUGAAAGAAGAGAGGGAAUUGGAAAUUUGUUGAGCGCCAAUUGCUAAAAUUAAUCCGCUUUGUUUUUUUAAUUUUUCAAAAAUCCUCUUUUUGUUAGGAGUAUAGGAUAGCGUUCAGC
rnacentral:lncRNA from 1 species